AGGACGAACGCUGGCGGCGUGCUUAACACAUGCAAGUCGAACGGAGUAAGACGCUGGUUGACGGUAGCUUGCUACUUGAUCUCCUUGUCUUACUUAGUGGCGGACGGGUGAGUAACGCGUGAGUAACCUGCCCUCGAGUGGGGAAUAACGUUCUGAAAAGAACGCUAAUACCGCAUAACAUACAUUGACCGCAUGAUCGGUGUAUCAAAGAUUUAUCGCUCGAGGAUGGACUCGCGUCCGAUUAGCUUGUUGGUGAGGUAACGGCUCACCAAGGCGACGAUCGGUAGCCGGACUGAGAGGUUGAACGGCCACAUUGGGACUGAGACACGGCCCAGACUCCUACGGGAGGCAGCAGUGGGGGAUAUUGCGCAAAGUGGGGGGAACCCUGACGCAGCAACGCCGCGUGGAGGAUGACGGUUUCGGAUUGUAAACUCCUUUUAUGGGGACGAAAUUGACGGUACCCCAUGAAUAAGCUCCGGCUAACUACGUGCCAGCCGCGGC
rnacentral:rRNA from 1 species